rnacentral:lncRNA from 1 species
UAAAAUUAAAGGAUUACUGGUCUGCAAUUUUGAACUUUGAAAAAGCACUUGAGAAGGCAAAGCUUAUUCACAAUGAAGAUGCUCAAAAGGCCAUCAUUAGUGCCUUAGAUGAUGUGAGCAAAAGCUUCGUUGAAGAGCUGCAUGGAAGAAGAGAAGAAACGACAGCUUACUCUUUUAAAGAGGGCAGUUUCAGCGCUGGGAGCACGGACGACGACAACCUCGAGAAGGACACAGAGGGAGAGGAAAGCGAGCGAAGCACAGAGCAUCGGGGAGGCGAAAAGCAAAAAGCGGCGGCAGCAGCCGGGACCCGCGAAGACCACCGGGGACCGCCUCAAGAGGGGGGAGAGGAAGGAGGCGAGGAGGACGCCGAGAGCAAAGGGGAAGAGAGAAGAGGAGCGAGGCAGAAGAAGGAGUAGGGGCUGACGAGCUGCGGCCGCGGGUUUGCCAACAGGAGCUCGGGUCCCGCAGCUCUCGUCUCCCGCACCUGCCGGUCCGCGC